rnacentral:rRNA from 1 species
GACGAACGCUGGCGGCGUGCUUAACACAUGCAAGUCGAACGGAAAGGCCCCUUCGGGGGUACUCGAGUGGCGAACAGGUGAGUAACACGUGAGUAACCUGCCCUUGACUUCGGGAUAACUUCAGGAAACUGGGGCUAAUACCGGAUAGGAAUCCUUGCUGCAUGGUGGGGGUUGGAAAGCUUCGGCGGUUUUGGAUGGACUCGCGGCUUAUCAGCUUGUUGGAGGGGUAGUGGCUUACCAAGGCUUUGACGGGUAGCCGGCCUGAGAGGGCGACCGGCCACAUUGGGACUGAGAUACGGCCCAGACUCCUACGGGAGGCAGCAGUGGGGAAUAUUGCACAAUGGGCGGAAGCCUGAUGCAGCAACGCCGCGGGCGGGAUGACGGCCUUCGGGUUGUAAACCGCUUUCAGCAGGGGCGAAGCUUGUGGUGACGGUACCUGCAGAAGAAGCACCGGCUAACUACGUG